AUUGAACGCUGGCGGCAGGCCUAACACAUGCAAGUCGAACGAGUGGCGGACGGGUGAGUAAUGUCUGGGAAACUGCCUGAUGGAGGGGGAUAACUACUGGAAACUGUAGCUAAUACCGCAUACCAUCGGAUGUGCCCAGAUGGGAUUAGCUAGUAGGUGGGGAAACGGCUCACCUAGGCGACGAUCCCUAGCUGGUCUGAGAGGAUGACCAGCCACACGGGAACGGAGACAGGGUCCAGACUCCUCGGGGAGGCAGAGGGGGGGAAUAUUGCACAAGGGGCGAAAGCCUGAGGAAGCCAUGCGGGGUGUAUGAAGAAGGCCUUGGGGUUGUAAAGUACUUCAGCGGGAAGGCGUUACCCGCAGAAGAAGCACCGGCUAACUCCGUGCCAGCAGCCGCGGUAAUUC
rnacentral:rRNA from 1 species